rnacentral:rRNA from 1 species
AUACGGAGGAUGCAAGCGUUAUCCGGAUUUAUUGGGUUUAAAGGGUGCGUAGGCGGUUUGCUAAGCGGGAGGUGAAAUGCCGGCGCUCAACGUCGGAAGUGCCUCCCGAACUGGUGGACUUGAAUGACUCUGCCGUGGGAGGAAUGUGUAGUGUAGCGGUGAAAUGCCUAGAGAUUACACAGAACACCGAUUGCGAAGGCAUCUCACGAAGGGUUGAUUGACGCUGAGGCACGAAAGCGUGGGGAUCAAACAGGAUUAGAUACCCUGGUAGUCCACGCAGUAAACGAUGAUGGCUAACCGCUGGGCUUAUCAGUUCAGUGGCCAAGCGAAAGCGAUAAGCCAUCCACCUGGGGAGUACGACCGCAAGGUUGAAACUCAAAGGAAUUGACGGGG